rnacentral:lncRNA from 1 species
AACAAGAUUGGCUGAUCAAUUUAGUCGUCGAGUUGAAAUCUUUGAAAAGUACGUGAAAGACUAAAGUCAAAGUAAAUAUGGAUUUAGAAUAGUAGUUAUAUUUUACUAACCGAAAUACCGAAAAAACCGAACCGAACCGAAACCAACCCGAUAUCCGAAUUGAACACCCCUAAUCCAAAUGAUGCCAAACUAUUGUUUCAUUCUCCAAAAUAUAAUAAAAAUAAUAACUUAAUCUCGCGCAAGGCGCGGGUCUUAUCCUAGUU